CCUACGGGAGGCAGCAGUGGGGAAUUUUGGACAAUGGGGGAAACCCUGAUCCAGCCAUUCCGCGUGAGUGAAGAAGGCCUUCGGGUUGUAAAGCUCUUUCGGCAGGAACGAAACGGCGGACUCUAACAUAGUCUGUCAAUGACGGUACCUGAAGAAGAAGCACCGGCUAACUACGUGCCAGCAGCCGCGGUAAUACGUAGGGUGCGAGCGUUAAUCGGAAUUACUGGGCGUAAAGCGUGCGCAGGCGGCUUUGAAAGACGGAUGUAAAAUCCCUGGGCUUAACCUAGGAACUGCGUUCGUGACUGCAAAGCUAGAGUGCGGCAGAGGGGGGUGGAAUUCCUGGUGUAGCAGUAAAAUGCGUAGAGAUCAGGAGGACCACCGAGGGCGAAGGCAGCCUUCGGGGCUGUCCCUGACGCUGAGGCGCGAAAGCGUGGGGAGCGAACCGGAUUAGAUCCCCCUGUAGU
rnacentral:rRNA from 1 species